rnacentral:rRNA from 1 species
AAUGGGCGCAAGCCUGACGGAGCAAGACCGCGUGAGGGAAGAAGGUCUGUGGAUUGUAAACCUCUUUUGAUAGGGAAGAAGACAGUGACGGUACCUAUCGAAUCAGCCUCGGCUAACUCCGUGCCAGCAGCCGCGGUAAUACGGAGGAGGCAAGCGUUAUCCGGAAUUAUUGGGCGUAAAGAGUCCGUAGGUGGGUAACCAAGUCAGCUGUUAAAUAGUGAAGCUUAACUUCAUAGAGGCGGCUGAAACUGGUUGUCUAGAGUGUGGUAGGGGUAGAGGGAAUUUCCAGUGUAGCGGUGAAAUGCGUAGAUAUUGGAAAGAACACCGGUGGCGAAAGCGCUCUACUGGGCCUGCACUGACACUGAGGGACGAAAGCUAGGGGAGCGAAAGGGAUUA